AGCGUACACGGUGGAUGCCCUGGCAGUCAGAGGCGAUGAAGGACGUGCUAAUCUGCGAUAAGCGUCGGUAAGGUGAUAUGAACCGUUAUAACCGGCGAUUUCCGAAUGGGGAAACCCAGUGUGAUUCGUCACACUAUCAUUAACUGAAUCCAUAGGUUAAUGAGGCGAACCGGGGGAACUGAAACAUCUAAGUACCCCGAGGAAAAGAAAUCAACCGAGAUUCCCCCAGUAGCGGCGAGCGAACGGGGAGCAGCCCAGAGCCUGAAUCAGUGUGUGUGUUAGUGGAAGUGUCUGGAAAGGCGCGCGAUACAGGGUGACAGCCCCGUACACAAAAAUGCACAUGCUGUGAGCUCGAUGAGUAGGGCGGGACACGUGGUAUCCUGUCUGAAUAUGGGGGGACCAUCCUCCAAGGCUAAAUACUCCUGACUGACCGAUAGUGAACCAGUACCGUGAGGGAAAGGCGAAAAGAACCCCGGCGAGGGGAGUGAAAAAGAACCUGAAACCGUGUACGUACAAGCAGUGGGAGCACGCUUAGGCGUGUGACUGCGUACCUUUUGUAUAAUGGGUCAGCGACUUAUAUUCUGUAGCAAGGUUAACCGAAUAGGGGAGCCGAAGGGAAACCGAGUCUUAACUGGGCGUUAAGUUGCAGGGUAUAGACCCGAAACCCGGUGAUCUAGCCAUGGGCAGGUUGAAGGUUGGGUAACACUAACUGGAGGACCGAACCGACUAAUGUUGAAAAAUUAGCGGAUGACUUGUGGCUGGGGGUGAAAGGCCAAUCAAACCGGGAGAUAGCUGGUUCUCCCCGAAAGCUAUUUAGGUAGCGCCUCGUGAAUUCAUCUCCGGGGGUAGAGCACUGUUUCGGCAAGGGGGUCAUCCCGACUUACCAACCCGAUGCAAACUGCGAAUACCGGAGAAUGUUAUCACGGGAGACACACGGCGGGUGCUAACGUCCGUCGUGAAGAGGGAAACAACCCAGACCGCCAGCUAAGGUCCCAAAGUCAUGGUUAAGUGGGAAACGAUGUGGGAAGGCCCAGACAGCCAGGAUGUUGGCUUAGAAGCAGCCAUCAUUUAAAGAAAGCGUAAUAGCUCACUGGUCGAGUCGGCCUGCGCGGAAGAUGUAACGGGGCUAAACCAUGCACCGAAGCUGCGGCAGCGACGCUGAUGCGUUGUUGGGUAGGGGAGCGUUCUGUAAGCCUGCGAAGGUGUGCUGUGAGGCAUGCUGGAGGUAUCAGAAGUGCGAAUGCUGACAUAAGUAACGAUAAAGCGGGUGAAAAGCCCGCUCGCCGGAAGACCAAGGGUUCCUGUCCAACGUUAAUCGGGGCAGGGUGAGUCGACCCCUAAGGCGAGGCCGAAAGGCGUAGUCGAUGGGAAACAGGUUAAUAUUCCUGUACUUGGUGUUACUGCGAAGGGGGGACGGAGAAGGCUAUGUUGGCCGGGCGACGGUUGUCCCGGUUUAAGCGUGUAGGCUGGUUUUCCAGGCAAAUCCGGAAAAUCAAGGCUGAGGCGUGAUGACGAGGCACUACGGUGCUGAAGCAACAAAUGCCCUGCUUCCAGGAAAAGCCUCUAAGCAUCAGGUAACAUCAAAUCGUACCCCAAACCGACACAGGUGGUCAGGUAGAGAAUACCAAGGCGCUUGAGAGAACUCGGGUGAAGGAACUAGGCAAAAUGGUGCCGUAACUUCGGGAGAAGGCACGCUGAUAUGUAGGUGAAGUCCCUCGCGGAUGGAGCUGAAAUCAGUCGAAGAUACCAGCUGGCUGCAACUGUUUAUUAAAAACACAGCACUGUGCAAACACGAAAGUGGACGUAUACGGUGUGACGCCUGCCCGGUGCCGGAAGGUUAAUUGAUGGGGUUAGCGCAAGCGAAGCUCUUGAUCGAAGCCCCGGUAAACGGCGGCCGUAACUAUAACGGUCCUAAGGUAGCGAAAUUCCUUGUCGGGUAAGUUCCGACCUGCACGAAUGGCGUAAUGAUGGCCAGGCUGUCUCCACCCGAGACUCAGUGAAAUUGAACUCGCUGUGAAGAUGCAGUGUACCCGCGGCAAGACGGAAAGACCCCGUGAACCUUUACUAUAGCUUGACACUGAACAUUGAGCCUUGAUGUGUAGGAUAGGUGGGAGGCUUUGAAGUGUGGACGCCAGUCUGCAUGGAGCCGACCUUGAAAUACCACCCUUUAAUGUUUGAUGUUCUAACGUGGACCCGUAAUCCGGGUUGCGGACAGUGUCUGGUGGGUAGUUUGACUGGGGCGGUCUCCUCCUAAAGAGUAACGGAGGAGCACGAAGGUUGGCUAAUCCUGGUCGGACAUCAGGAGGUUAGUGCAAUGGCAUAAGCCAGCUUGACUGCGAGCGUGACGGCGCGAGCAGGUGCGAAAGCAGGUCAUAGUGAUCCGGUGGUUCUGAAUGGAAGGGCCAUCGCUCAACGGAUAAAAGGUACUCCGGGGAUAACAGGCUGAUACCGCCCAAGAGUUCAUAUCGACGGCGGUGUUUGGCACCUCGAUGUCGGCUCAUCACAUCCUGGGGCUGAAGUAGGUCCCAAGGGUAUGGCUGUUCGCCAUUUAAAGUGGUACGCGAGCUGGGUUUAGAACGUCGUGAGACAGUUCGGUCCCUAUCUGCCGUGGGCGCUGGAGAACUGAGGGGGGCUGCUCCUAGUACGAGAGGACCGGAGUGGACGCAUCACUGGUGUUCGGGUUGUCAUGCCAAUGGCACUGCCCGGUAGCUAAAUGCGGAAGAGAUAAGUGCUGAAAGCAUCUAAGCACGAAACUUGCCCCGAGAUGAGUUCUCCCUGACUCCUUGA
rnacentral:rRNA from 1 species